rnacentral:rRNA from 1 species
CCUACGGGAGGCAGCAGUGAGGAAUAUUGGUCAAUGGACGCAAGUCUGAACCAGCCAUGCCGCGUGCAGGAAGACGGCUCUAUGAGUUGUAAACUGCUUUUGUACGAGGGUAAACGCAGAUACGCGUAUCUGUCUGAAAGUAUCGUACGAAUAAGGAUCGGCUAACUCCGUGCCAGCAGCCGAGGUAAUACGGAGGAUUCAAGCGUUAUAGGGAUUUAGUGGGUUUAAAGGGUGCGUAGGCGGUCGGAUAAGUUAGAGGUGAAAUCCCGAGGCUCAACUUCGGAAUUGCCUCUGAUACUGUUCGGCUAGAGAGUAGUUGCGGUAGGCGGAAUGUAUGGUGUAGCGGUGAAAUGCUUAGAGAUCAUACAGAACACCGAGUGCGAAGGCAGCUUACCAAGCUACUUCUGACGUUGAGGCACGAAAGCGUGGGGAGCAAACAGGAUUAGAUACCCGGGUAGUC